rnacentral:rRNA from 1 species
UCUCAAAAAGACCGUCCCAGUUCGGAUCGCAGGCUGCAACCCGCCUGCGUGAAGUUGGAAUCGCUAGUAAUCGCGGAUCAGCAUGCCGCGGUGAAUACGUUCCCGGGCCUUGUACACACCGCCCGUCACACCAUGAGAGUCGGGAACACCCGAAGUCCGUAGCCUAACCGCAAGGGGGGCGCGGCCGAAGGUGGGUUCGAUAAUUGGGGUGAAGUCGUAACAAGGUAAC